UGGACCAAACUUAUCGCUUGCUGCAUAUACAAGUUGGUAAAAUGGUUCACAAAAACUCUGCUGUUUACAUGAUUCCGUUCAUCCUAUUGCUGUUGCUCGCAUCCAAUACACUAGUAGUGUGUUCUGAUUUUUCCCCAGCAACAAAAAUCAAAGAAAACAGUAGGUUUCAUUGGGGCAUAAGGAAAAUCGGCGUACGAAAGCCUCCUACACCGGGAGGUCCUCAAGUAAGAAAUUCAUAUCUUCACC